AGUUGCGAACGGGUGAGUAACGCGUAGGURACCUGCCUUGUAGCGGGGGAUAACUAUUGGAAACGAUAGCUAAUACCGCAUAACAGCUUUUGACACAUGUUAGAAGCUUGAAAGAUGCAAUUGCAUCACUACGAGAUGGACCUGCGUUGUAUUAGCUAGUAGGUAGGGUAACGGCCUACCUAGGCGACGAUACAUAGCCGACCUGAGAGGGUGAUCGGCCACACUGGGACUGAGACACGGCCCAGACUCCUACGGGAGGCAGCAGUAGGGAAUCUUCGGCAAUGGGGGCAACCCUGACCGAGCAACGCCGCGUGAGUGAAGAAGGUUUUCGGAUCGUAAAGCUCUGUUGUAAGAGAAGAA
rnacentral:rRNA from 1 species